UACAGAGGUCCCAAGCGUUGUUCGGAUUCACUGGGCGUAAAGGGUGCGUAGGCGGUCGGGUAAGUCUGGCGUGAAAUCUCCAAGCCUAACUUGGAAACUGCGUUGGAUACUAUCCGGCUCGAGGAAUGGAGGGGAGACUGGAAUACUUGGUGUAGCAGUGAAAUGCGUAGAUAUCAAGUGGAACACCAGUGGCGAAGGCGAGUCUCUGGACAUUUCCUGACGCUAAGGCACGAAAGCCAGGGGAGCAAACGGG
rnacentral:rRNA from 1 species